CAUGUGAGUCAAUGUAUUUCAGUAUGUUGUUCCAGAUUAGAGAUGAAGUUUCAUCCGAGAUGAAUGGUGUUUAAGGCACCUUUUGCGGGUGACUGCAGUAGGCCUGAUCAACCUGCCGUACUCGCCUUCCCUGUGAGUGGGAAACAUAUUUUGUUGCACAAUGUUUUGGAUAAAAGUUGGUCUAAUGACCCCAGUGUAUACUAUCCCUGUAAUAGUCAAAAUUUGUGAAGUUCAAGGGGGAGAAUGUAACUGGUGUGAAUUUAUUGACUUAAUUUAAUUUGCUUUCUUUUCUUUCCUAUAUUGUAUUAUUAUUAUUUUUUUAUAUGCUGUUUAUACCGUUAUAAAUUCUAUGUGUUUCAUAAUAAGAAUGGGUUAAUGAACUCCACGAAAUUUUGUUCCUCUACUAUUGUUCGCAAGUAAAAAAAUAUAACGUUAAAGUCACGUAACUUUUCUUUGGGAUUUUGUCUGGGGAGGGAAUGAUAUCAGUGGAACACAUCCGUGGUUUCCCCGCAUGCGAAAUGUGAUAGCCUCAGUCUACCUGUGUGCGAGGCUAAUGAGCACAUGUACUACUCUGUUCUCCCCGUGAAUGACUCUGUGUGCCAGAGAGGGAGAAGCUGUCGCCUGUUGAUCCACUGAUUAUUUCUCCUUGUUACAGGUAUGUUGUUUAAUUAGUUCUGUUUUAUAAAAG